GUACACUCCUGCGGGAGGCAGCAGUGGGGAAUUUUGGACAAUGGGGGCAACCCUGAUCCAGCAAUGCCGCGUGAGUGAAGAAGGCCUUCGGGUUGUAAAGCUCUUUUGUCAGGGAAGAAACGGUGGUGGCGAAUAACUACUACUAAUGACGGUACCUGAAGAAUAAGCACCGGCUAACUACGUGCCAGCAGCCGCGGUAAUACGUAGGGUGCAAGCGUUAAUCGGAAUUACUGGGCGUAAAGCGUGCGCAGGCGGUUGUGUAAGUCUGAUGUGAAAUCCCCGGGCUCAACCUGGGAAUAGCAUUUGAGACUGCACGGCUAGAGUGUGUCAGAGGGGGGUAGAAUUCCACGUGUAGCAGUGAAAUGCGUAGAUAUGUGGAGGAAUACCGAUGGCGAAGGCAGCCCCCUGGGAUAACACUGACGCUCAUGCACGAAAGCGUGGGGAGCAAACAGGAUUAGAUACCCCUGUAGUCCCAUGAU
rnacentral:rRNA from 1 species